rnacentral:rRNA from 1 species
UACAGAGGGGGCAAGCGUUGUUCGGAAUUACUGGGCGUAAAGGGCGCGUAGGCGGCCUGCUAAGUCGAACGUGAAAUCCCUGGGCUCAACCCAGGAACUGCGUCCGAGACUGGUUGGCUCGAAUCCGGGAGAGGGAUGUGGAAUUCCAGGUGUAGCGGUGAAAUGCGUAGAUAUCUGGAGGAACACCGGUGGCGAAGGCGGCAUCCUGGACCGGUAUUGACGCUGAUGCGCGAAAGCCAGGGGAGCAAACGGG